rnacentral:lncRNA from 1 species
GCGUAAUAAACGAAAAACUCAGGCCAAACUUCAGGUGAAGCAACUCACUUCGUUUGAUAAAAGGCUCAUUGAAUUGGAGCGGCGUGUAAAUGGCUUAGCCAGAGAGGUUCGAGAAUACAAAAUCCAGUAUAGUGAGCCCUCCAAACAGUUUCAAAACUUUGAAUACCUAAUUGUGGAGUUGGUAGAAGGACCGAUUUUGGUGGAUAGCUCUUGAUUUUCCAAAGGAUCAAGAGGUCCAGAAACAUAGGGCACAAGGCCUAAUGUAAUAAUAGUAACGAAGAUAUAGCAGAACUUACUUAUACGUAUAUGCUCAGAUUUUCAUUUUCCAUUGUACGAUUCGAAAGUUGAAGCUCAAAUCGGCGUGUAUAGCCAGCAGGAUAUGCCUGAAAACCUGAUCAAAUAUUUUGUCACGACCAACAAUUUCCUGAAGGGACAGCUCUGGGAUGUGCCAGUGUCCAAAUAUUAAAUGCCAUUGUGACAAACGCCGCCAACUGGCUAUGAAACAGCCAACUAUUGUCGAUGAUGAGGACAUGGUGGCCCAGACCACCGGGAACGGGAGAACUGGGACUCGAAUAGUCGCCGCUUGCAAUCAGUGGAUGGGUGUGACAAACGCAGUUGGCAAUUUCUUCGUUUAACAUGCAAAUUUCAACGAUUUUCAAUCACAACUCGGCACUCACUGCAGUUCCCUCUGCAUCAUUUGGGCAGUGCUGACGCCUUAGAUAGAUUUAAGUCUGCAAAACACCAUUUGAAAUGUAUUGUAAGUCACUAAUGAAACCAUCUACUUAGACCAUCUACAAUGACAACAAAGCUCAAAUACGGGCUGAUUUAAUGAAUAUUUACACUAAUUGGC